GACAUAUAAUUUUUACAUUUAUAGAAGGAAUACAUUUUUUUCUCUGCAUGUAGUAAUUAGUGGUGCAAAUGGUCAGUAAGCAAUACUUCCCUACCUUAAUAGAAUAAAAUCUUUGGUUAAUUAGGAGAUUUAAACACAUAAUGAAUAUGUGAACUCUGCCAACUGUUCUAAUAGAGGCCGUCAGCUCAUUUAUAUUGUUAAUUGAACAAUUAGUAUUGCUGAAUUGCAAACCCACAGGAGACAGGAGGGCAGAACACGUUCCUGAGACACUGCGUUGCUCUGCUGGCACCAGAUAUCUGUGACCACAGGUGACUCCAUUGCCCUCCAGAGCCCUUCAACAACAUGGGUGGAUUUCAACCAUUAGGGAGAGAAAUUUAAAUGUGCAAAUAUUUGCAUUUUCCUAGACUGAUCAUAGUCCACCUCUUCAGAAAUAUCUCAGCACAUGAAGACUGACAGGUAGGAAAGGAUGACUGAAAGGAAGUUUCCUGCAAAAAACACUCUAACAUGCUCUUCAAAAUAGCCUGGAUUUGGACUUACUGCAGCAAAACCCUGAUCCGAGCCUCUUCUGGGAGCAUGUCUGAGGCAGAGAGAAAAACAAGACCCAGGAAUACUCCAGGCUAUCAGCACCAGGAAAUCCCACCACAGCUCAGCAGAAAUGACUGAUCACCUAUACAGAGAAAUCUCCAAUACUGGCAAAGAUAAUUGGCUGUAUUUGGAAGACAGCAGGAAGAAGUGCAGGUUAACUUUUCUGCUCAGAGAGAUUCUCUGCAAGUAUUCCUACUGUUUGGAAGGAGAGAAAGGUGAAUGGCAGUGCUGCUUCCCACACAUGGAAAGCCCAUCUCUUAUGCACAACGAGCAACAUGUGUUUUUCAGUCCAGAUGACUUUGUACUUUAGCCUGAGGAAAAACAACAAAGCCACAGUGAAAACAAACCCUUCAAAACCUGGGGUGGGGCAGAGUGUAUUUCUCACUUGACCUUUCUUGAAACCCUUCCCCCAGCAGAUGAGCUCCCACUGAGACUUAAACCAUGAACAGCAGACAAACAGAUGUUAAUAGCAUCUUCACUGGAACACUGUGCUGGUCCAGAGCUCCUGCUGAAAAUGCUACUGGGCUUUAUCCUCCCUCCUGCAGGCGUCUGUGCUAGUGCAGGCGUUCUGAAAGGAUUGCAAUUUUGCUGCAGGCUCAUGGCAUAGAAAAAACAGAGCUGUGAGGGAGAAAGGCCUUUGCUGAACAUCUCUCAAAAUAAGCUUAUUUAACAGUCAGAUGGGAAAAGACUGGUCUAUCUUUUCCUUCUUGCUUCCCAGACUUUGGAAUGCCCUGUGAUUUACAUUGCACUCAAACCCUCAGCACUGUUCACCCUCUUGGCAAGCUCCCCCCUUCCAUUCCAUUCCUGAUCUCCAUGCCUUUGAUUACAUUGAUUAAAAUAAAACCAAUAUAUCAGAGACCUACUGAAGCAGCUGAUUCCAAAUAUCCACAACAGCAAAAAUAAACAUUGGUGAAAAGCACCUGCAAUCAACAGAAAUAAAAUGAAAGCAAAAAAAAAGUAUUGUAUAAAAAUAAUAAAAAAAAAAAGACCAAUUUAAUAAUUUAAAAUUUAAUAAUUUCUAAGGGGUUUCUAAUUCCUGUGUAUUGGAUAAGGUGGUAAGAGUUGAAGAAAACGAGGAUUUGCACCAAAAUAACAUUAAAAUUAACUGUCAAUUUUAAUGAAGAAGAAAAGCAAAUACAGAACCUUUCUGCAGUACAGCUGGAUCAACCUAUCAACCUCCUGGUCAAGGAACAUGGAACAGACAUGAAUGCAUCUAUGAUUUUCUAUGCCUUGGACUGGAAGUAAAAGAUCUUCUUUUAGAAAUAUAAUACAUAUACAGUUUUUUUUCCUUUGAGGGAGAAUGACUUUCUAAUGUGAAGGAAAUGAAGGUGCAAAAAUGGCUCCUAAAUGUGCCAAAAUGAGGUCUCCAGUUGGUAAAUGGGUAACAGCAUUUCUUGUCUUAUUUUACUUCUUUUCUGUAGCUUCUGAACAUUAUUCAAAAAUGAAUGCAUUUCAAGUGUAUGGUUGAAUUUAGGUGGAAAGUGCUGUUUCGUCUCUUUUUUUUCUUUCUUUUUCUCUUCCUUGCUCCUAUUUAUUCCAAAUGAUUUUGAGCUGCAAGGCUUUUACAUUAAUGGAUGCCCCCAUUCAGCUGGAUUAAAAAUCCUCUUUACUAUGAGCACUGAAGGACAACACAACACUAAAACCACCUGGAUAGUUUAUUUUAUUCAAGCACUAGUUGCAUUAAUAUUUGAAAGACAGUAAUUCAUGUGCUGAAACACUUAAGAAAAGGAAGAGGGAUGGGGUCAUGCAGGAAGUGACACCUGACUCUGUUUUACACAGAGGGAAACAGAAUCUCCUUUAAAAAUAUUAAUACACUGAGAUAUAUAUUUUUUUCCCUUUUAAGUCACUGUAUGUCAACCAACAGUGCAAAACCAAAAGUAUGACAAAAUAAAAAUGGAAAAAAGGCUAGAUGAGGAAUAGGCAUCUUCCUCCUUUUUCUCCUGUAUUUACAGAAAGGCCUCUGCAGGAUGGAAUGCACUGGAAGUAGUUUGUGACUUGAUCCGUAAAUAUCCAACAAAUCUGAGCACAAACAUGAAAGGAGGUAUUCAAUAAGAAGCAAAGUGGCCUUUCUCUCCCUCUGUCCUUUAUAAUUUGAAGAAGACAUAAUUUCCUGUGGGAUACUGUCUACCUGGCCCUGGUGCUCCCACCAGGAACAGAAAUUGGUCUGCUGCUCUUCUGACAUCGCCUGGAUGAGUCUUCAAGUCUGAGACUGAAAUUGUUAAACUUCUUUGGCUUUCCAGGUGCUUGUCCUUUUCUCUCCUGCUGCAUUCUAGCUGACCACUUUUCAAAGGUGAGGCCAGGAGGACAGAGCACGUGGAAGGGAAGGAGGGGGAUUGGUCUCCAAGCAUUCCCACAAGUUGCUUCUUUUCAAAGGCUUUCUUGUUGAGCAUGGAACACAACAGAUUCCCCCACAAAUGCUUACAGAGCCGCCUUAUUUCAGCUUUUAUUUCCUUUGUUUGUUUCUUCAAAAGGACUGACAUUAUUAUGGGAAAGAACAUUGAGAGAACAAGUGAAAUUUAAACAACAUCCUGCUCUGAAACAUUCUGGUUACGGCAGAGAGCAUCUGUGCCACUGUAUUUUAAACAGGCAUUUGGAAGAGAAGUAGCUUUGACAAGAUGAUAAUUUAGUCCUUUUGACUCCCUCACUUCAAAGUGAAUCUAUCUGGAAAUUCUCAGAGGAACAAAGUUUUGCUGAAAAAUGCCAAAUUCUUGACCCUGACCUAUUUUGUUUGCAACAAGGGGGGUGAUACAAACUUCUGUCAGAGGAAAGCAGUGUUUCUGGGAUGUCAGAUAGAUUCAUCCCUGCUUCUGAGUCACUGGGAACCCUGCCUGGCAAUUUCUGUCAUCAGCUGAAGAAUAAGGUCAUUCUCAGUUUGCCUUGUUUUUAAUUGGCCUUCAAUUGGCAAGAGCUAUCUGAAAAAAAAAAAAAAAAAAACCAAAAAAACCAAAAAAACUAAACAAACAAAAUCCCACCAAAUAAAUGAAUAAAUCAACCUCAACUAACCAACUAAUCAAAAAUAAAACCCUUCACUAGCAGAGCAAAAAACCAAUCCCCUCAUAAAUAUAGGGAAAGCAAUACUUCCUUUUUGUGAGGUGACCUUGAUUUCUUUCUCUCAGUAAAGAAAAUGUGACUGCCCUGUCAAUACUGGAUGUUACUGAUCUGAGAUCACUUGGGCUUUAUCUACACAGGGGAUUUGCACACAUUUCCCCACUGAGCAGGAGGCAGCAGCAGCAACACUAGAGGUUGCAGUGAAUA